rnacentral:rRNA from 1 species
GAUGAACGCUGGCGGCGUGCUUAACACAUGCAAGUCGAACGGAACUACUCCAAUGAGAGUCUUCGGAAAGGAUUUGGUUUAGUUUAGUGGCGGACGGGUGAGUAACGCGUGGGUAACCUGCCCUAUACAGGGGGAUAACAGUUGGAAACGACUGUUAAUACCGCAUAAGCGCACAGGAGCGCAUGCUCCGGUGUGAAAAACUCCGGUGGUAUAGGAUGGACCCGCGUCUGAUUAGCUGGUUGGCGGGGUAACGGCCCACCAAGGCAACGAUCAGUAGCCGGCCUGAGAGGGUGAACGGCCACAUUGGGACUGAGACACGGCCCAAACUCCUACGGGAGGCAGCAGUGGGGAAUAUUGCACAAUGGGGGAAACCCUGAUGCAGCGACGCCGCGUGAGCGAAGAAGUAUCUCGGUAUGUAAAGCUCUAUCAGCAGGGAAGAAAAUGACGGUACCUGACUAAGAAGCCCCGGCUAACUACGUG